rnacentral:snRNA from 1 species
CGUGCGCUGGAUUAUGACU